rnacentral:rRNA from 1 species
AGGACGAACGCUGGCGGUGUGCUUAACACAUGCAAGUGGAGCGGUAAGGCCCCUUCGGGGGUACACGAGCGGCGAACGGGUGAGUAACACGUGAGCAAUCUGCCCUUCACAUCGGGAUAACCCCCCGGAAACGGGAGCUAAUACCGGAUACGACCACUUCAGGCAUCUGAUGGUGGUGGAAAGUUCCGGCGGUGAAGGAUGAGCUCGCGGCCUAUCAGCUUGUUAGUGAGGUAAUGGCUCACCAAGGCUUCGACGGGUA